CCUCCUGCACGCGCCACCCUCCCCACCGCUGGUUUCGCCGCCUGUCUUCGACCGGCUUCGUCGACGGCAUGCAUCCGUUUCUGCUUCGUUUCUCUCCUGGGUGUGCGUAAGGCACGCGUCUGCCUGCGCCACCGAUACGGUUCGCAUUUUGGCUUCUGACAGCGAUGGAAUUGGCUGUGGCAUGCACGCCCAGCUCCACCGCUCACCUCCCCCCACUCCCUUCUCCCCGGUCAUCGAUUGCAGGCAUAUGCACCGCCCCUUUUUUUUUGGGGGGGGGGGGUCUGAACGCCCCUCUCUUCGUCGUGUUUCGUGACGUGUCGUUGAUAUGGAGCAUAGUGCAGCAUCUGUGACAGCCAAGGUCGCACUCACGACUUCUUCCAAGUCAUUUUCAAGAUGGGAAGGGACGUCGACAUCAUGUGCGCUAACCCGGUCAAGUACUUGGUUAUCUCACGCGUGUGUGUCCCGUCGCUCUACGAAGACGGCGUCCAAAACCGACCCACUGGCACCGAUGCGGCGCAGCGCGAGGUCUAGGCUUACGACGCUGCUCUUGAGGUGGGCACUCACGUUGCACAGCUUCACGUGUAUCGGCGCCUAGCAAACGAUUGCUACAUCUUUCUUGCCGCCACGCUCAACGCGCAACAGGAUGGGGCACAUCGCGAAGGUGCUAGGAGCAACUGCGUGUGGGGUGUGAGCAUGGCAAUCUUCAGCGGCUACAUUUCAGCAUCUGGCGCAUUCUGCGUGAUUGUCGGGGGCUCCUGCUCCUUGUGACGCUAGUCGUUGACAUGUACAUCCUCCUAGCACUCGCUUGCUUCCUCGCAGCACGAACGCGAGGCUAUGUGUACAAUGAGGCAGUGUGUGUCCGCGUAAGUGCGUGUGCUGAUGUGCUCUCAUGUUCACGGUCAUGUCUGUGUUGCCCGUCUGACGCGUCGCAUCCAUCUUGUUUUGUGCGCGCGGUGUCGGCUGCCACGUCGCGAUCGUGCGUUAUUUUCCUCUGGCGGUGCGCCUACAGAUCCCUCUUUCCCUUUGCUGGAUACUAGAUGUGCAUCUGCUGAAUCGGUAUGUUCGUGUGUCGUCGGUAGGCGUCUCUUCCUCCCCUCGGUGUCGCGCGUUAGUUUGCGAAUGCCUGUCCGUGAACCAC
rnacentral:misc_RNA from 1 species